rnacentral:ribozyme from 1 species
AAGCUGGGCAAGAUGGAAGUGCACGACGACGACGUGGUGUUUACUACCGAAAAUAGCUGGGGUGCAACCAAGCGAGUCCGCUUCAUGUUGCAGUCGCGCCCGUACAAAAGCACAAAAAAGGG